rnacentral:rRNA from 1 species
UCAAGCUACAAAGGGCUAACGGUGGAUACCUAGGCACACAGAGGCGAAGAAGGACGUGGUUACCGACGAUACACUCCGGGGAGCUGGAAGCGAGCAUUGAGCCGGAGAUUUCCGAAUGGGGCAACCCUUAAUACAGCCAUCUGAAUAUAUAGGAUGGUAUGAGCCAACUCAGCGAAUUGAAACAUCUUAGUAGCUGAAGGAAGAGAAAGAAAAAUCGAUUCCCUUAGUAGCGGCGAGCGAAGCGGGAAGAGCCUAAACCAACUGCUUAGGUGGUUGGGGUUGUGGGACAGUAAUGUGGACUAUAGAGAUUAGAUGAAGUAGUUGAAAGCUACACCAGAGAAGGUGAAAGUCCUGUAAUCGAAAAUCAAAGUAGCCUAACUGUAUCCCGAGUAGGCCGGAGCACGUGAAAUUCCGGUUGAAUCAGCGAGGACCACCUCGUAAGGCUAAAUACUACUGUGUGACCGAUAGUGUAAAAGUACCGCGAGGGAAAGGUGAAAAGAACCCCGGGAGGGGAGUGAAAUAGAACAUGAAACCGUUAGCCUACAAGCAAUGGGAGGACGAUUCAACGUCUGACCGUGUGCCUGUUGAAGAAUGAGCCGGCGACUUACAGGCUGUGGCAGGUUAAGGUGAAAAGCCGAAGCCAAAGUGAAAACGAGUCUGAAUAGGGCGUUAGUCACAGUUUGUAGACCCGAACCCGGGUGAUCUAACCAUGGCCAGGAUGAAGCUUGGGUAAUACCAAGUGGAGGUCCGAACCGACUUCUGUUGAAAAAGGAGCGGAUGAGCUGUGGUUAGGGGUGAAAUGCCAAUCGAACCCGGAGCUAGCUGGUUCUCCCCGAAAUGUGUUUAGGCGCAGCGGUUGAUAAAGCUUAUACAGGGGUAAAGCACUGUUUCGCUGCGGGCUGCGAGAGCGGUACCAAAGUGAGACAAACUAAGAAUACUGUAUAAAAAGCAACCAGUAAGACGGUGGGGGAUAAGCUUCAUCGUCGAGAGGGAAACAGCCCAGACCGCCAGCUAAGGUCCCAAAAUACUUGCUAAGUGAUAAAGGAGGUGGGAGUGCAUAGACAACCAGGAGGUUUGCCUAGAAGCAGCAAUCCUUGAAAGAGUGCGUAAUAGCUCACUGGUCAAGCGCUCCUGCGCCGAAAAUGAACGGGGCUAAGCAAGUUACCGAAGCUGCGGGAUAAUAUCUAUCGAUACUAUCGGUAGGGGAGCGUUCUAUAUGGUGUGAAGCAUUAGCGGCAAGCAGGUGUGGACUGUAUAGAAGUGAGAAUGUCGGCUUAAGUAGCGAAAAUAUGUGUGAGAAUCACAUACCCCGAAACCCCAAGGGUUCCUCCGGAAGGCUCGUCCGCGGAGGGUUAGUCGGGACCUAAGGCGAGGCCGAAAGGCGUAGUCGAUGGACAUGAGGUUAAUAUUCCUCAACUCUUAUGUGGGAGCACAACUAUGACGCAUGAAAGAUAGCUACACCCUGAAUGGAUUGGGAGGAAACCACGGUUUCCGCGUAGUUAAGGAUAGUGCCUAGAAAAGCUAGUUGUGUGUUGAAAGCAUAGGACCCGUACCCGAAACCGACACAGGUGGGGUGGUAGAGUAUACCGAGGGGCGCGAGGUAACUCUCUCUAAGGAACUCGGCAAAAUUGCUCCGUAACUUUGGGAUAAGGAGUGCCAGCGAGAGCUGGUCGCAGUGAAGAGGCCCAGGCGACUGUUUACCAAAAACACAGGUCUCUGCCAACUCGUAAGAGGAUGUAUAGGGGCUGACGCCUGCCCAGUGCCGGAAGGUUAAGGAAGUUGGUUAGCUUCGGCGAAGCUGACGACUGAAGCCCCGGUGAACGGCGGCCGUAACUAUAACGGUCCUAAGGUAGCGAAAUUCCUUGUCGGGUAAGUUCCGACCCGCACGAAAGGCGUAACGAUCUGGGCACUGUCUCGGAGAGAGGCUCGGCGAAAUAGGAUUGUCUGUGAAGAUACGGACUACCUGCACCUGGACAGAAAGACCCUAUGAAGCUUUACUGUAGCUUGGUAUUGGGUUCGGGCUUUGUUUGCGCAGGAUAGGUGGGAGACGUUGAGAUUACCCUUGUGGGGGUAAUGGAGUCAAUGGUGAGAUACCACUCUAACAAGGCUAGAAUUCUAACUUUAAACCGUGAAUCCGGUGAAAGGACAGUAUCAGGUGGGCAGUUUGACUGGGGCGGUCGCCUCCUAAAUGAUAACGGAGGCGCACAAAGGUUUCCUCAGGCUGGUUGGAAAUCAGCCAUUGAGUGCAAAAGCAUAAGGAAGCUUGACUGCGAGACUUACAAGUCAAGCAGGGACGAAAGUCGGUUUUAGUGAUCCGACGGCGCUGCGUGGAAGGGCCGUCGCUCAACGGAUAAAAGUUACUCUAGGGAUAACAGGCUGAUCUCCCCCAAGAGUUCACAUCGACGGGGAGGUUUGGCACCUCGAUGUCGGCUCAUCGCAACCUGGGGCUGAAGUAGGUCCCAAGGGUUGGGCUGUUCGCCCAUUAAAGCGGUACGUGAGCUGGGUUCAGAACGUCGUGAGACAGUUCGGUCCAUAUCCGGUGCAGGCGCAAGAGCAUUGAGAGGAUUCUUCCUUAGUACGAGAGGACCGGGAAGGACGCACCGCUGGUGUACCUGUUAUCGUGCCAACGGUAAACGCAGGGUAGCCAAGUGCGGAGCGGAUAACCGCUGAAAGCAUCUAAGUGGGAAGCCCACCUCAAGAUGAGUGCUCUCAUGGAGUUAAUCCAGUAAGGUCACGGGAAGAACACCCGUUAAUAGGCAUUAGGUGGAAGCGUGGCAACAUGUGAAGCCGAGAUGUCCUAACAGACCGAGGGCUUGUCCUU